CUGAUGCCCACAGCGGGUAGGUGGGAACCCUCGCCGGGUUCGAGCAGGGCAGCUUGCUGCGAUGAGCGGCCGCAGGCAGCCCCGAAGGGGUGAGCCACGCAGUGGCGAAGGAUCCUUCCCUCAUCGCCA
rnacentral:sRNA from 1 species